UACCCCAUAACAUUUUGAAUGGCAUCAUUUAAAAUUGAAAACUCCGGUGGAUAGAGAUGGGCACGCGCAAGAUUAGAUAGUUGGUGAGGUAACGGCUCACCAAGUCUGCGAUCUUUAGGGGGCCUGAGAGGGUGAUCCCCCACACUGGUACUGAGACACGGACCAGACUCCUACGGGAGGCAGCAGUGAGGAAUAUUGGACAAUGGGUGCGAGCCUGAUCCAGCCAUCCCGCGUGAAGGACGACGGCCCUAUGGGUUGUAAACUUCUUUUGUAUAGGGAUAAACCUAGAUACGUGUAUCUAGCUGAAGGUACUAUACGAAUAAGCACCGGCUAACUCCGUGCCAGCAGCCGCGGUAAUACGGAGGGUGCAAGCGUUAUCCGGAUUUAUU
rnacentral:rRNA from 1 species